GCGGGUGUAGUUCAAUGGUAGAACCUCAGCUUCCCAAGCUGAUAGCGUGGGUUCGAUUCCCAUCACCCGCUCCA
rnacentral:tRNA from 1 species